rnacentral:rRNA from 1 species
AACGAACGCUGGCGGCAGGCUUAACACAUGCAAGUCGAGCGCCCCGCAAGGGGAGCGGCAGACGGGUGAGUAACGCGUGGGAAUCUACCCAUCUCUACGGAAUAACGCAUGGAAACGUGUGCUAAUACCGUAUACGUCCUUCGGGAGAAAGAUUUAUCGGAGAUGGAUGAGCCCGCGUUGGAUCAGCUAGUUGGUGGGGUAAAGGCCUACCAAGGCGACGAUCCAUAGCUGGUCUGAGAGGAUGAUCAGCCACACUGGGACUGAGACACGGCCCAGACUCCUACGGGAGGCAGCAGUGGGGAAUAUUGGACAAUGGGCGCAAGCCUGAUCCAGCCAUGCCGCGUGAGUGAUGAAGGCCCUAGGGUUGUAAAGCUCUUUCGCCGGUGAAGAUAAUGACGGUAACCGGAGAAGAAGCCCCGGCUAACUUCGUGCCAGCCGCCGCCGUAAGAC